UACGUAGGUGGCAAGCGUUGUCCGGAAUUACUGGGCGUAAAGCGUGCGUAGGUGGUUCGUUAAGUCUGAUGUGAAAGCCCUGGGCUCAACCUGGGAAUGGCAUUGGAAACUGGCGACCUAGAGUGCGGUAGAGGGUAGUGGAAUUCCCGGUGUAGCAGUGAAAUGCGUAGAGAUCGGGAGGAACAUCUGUGGCGAAGGCGACUGCCUGGACCAGCACUGACACUGAGGCACGAAAGCGUGGGGAGCAAACAGGGA
rnacentral:rRNA from 1 species